AAGAUGUCACUCCAACCAUUUUGUAUUCAUUCAGCUACGCUUAUUCACUGAGUUUGAGGUUAUGUGAUAUUAGAAACGUUUAUACGGUAGGAUACACGUAAAAUGUAUCAAAAGAGAAGUAUCUUAUUGGGUCCCAGUAUUCUUGUAGCUGCCAAUUUUCUGUCCAAACUGACACCAGACGUAAGGAAAAAUGUUUUUAGAUGUAUGUUACAACUGGCAAUCAAUUCACUGGAAGGAAAAGAUAUACCUGAAGGUGCAUUGGACAGUGUCCAGGGACAAGACAUAUCACUGUCACAACUGUACGAGUCCUAUGCUGGAAUACAUAACCUUAUCCAGUCAUUUAUAAGCCUGCCACAGGGAUCAGUUAAUUCUGAUCAUCUGAAAGAAGGCUUAAAGGAAGUGAAAUUCCCUGACGAAUGUCAAACAGACCUCAUAAAUAUCCUUUAUGGACCAAAAAGACUAGCUUUGGAUGAGAAGAAUUGCCAGGACAGUUUCUAUUUGAAAUUGGAGAAGUUGAGAUGGAGGGUUGACAUAACCAUUUCAUCAAGGUCAUUGUGCAGUUCUUUUCAGAGUUAACAGAAGAAGAAAGACUCUAUGGCUGGUUUUAGGAAGACUGAGCUACUGCCCACACUGCACGUGUCUCUGUGCAGGGCUUUGUCUGAUGUCUUCGGGGACAGAAUUGCCAGCAUGCUCACCUGAUCUUAAUACUCAUGAUUUUUUCUUCUGGGAUUGUGUGGAGGACAAAGUUUACAGUAACCCCUGAAUGGAAGAACCAAAAGAAAAUAUUCAUAGGGAAAUUGCAAAUAUUCCUAUAGAACAAGUAAAUCAGAACCGCUUCUGCCAGUGUGAGGACUGUAUACAUGUAGAGAGGGACAGCAUUUUCAACACCUCUUAUGAUCUGUGAACAAAGUGUUCUAUCAAGAGUUCUGGAACCCAGCAUACUGUUCGAGAUGACCCUGAGUAAUGGCGAGAAGAAAACAUUUGAAGUGUCCAU